UACGUAGGGCGCAAGCGUUGUCCGGAAUCACUGGGCGUAAAGCGCACGUAGGCGGAUGUGUCAGUCAGGGGUGAAAUCCCGGGGCUCAACCUCGGAACUGCCUUUGAUACAGCACGUCUUGAGUCCGAUAGAGGUGGGUGGAAUUCCUAGUGUAGGAGGUGAAAUUCGUAGAUAUUAGGAAGAACACCGGUGGCGAAGGCGGCCCACUGGAUCGGUACUGACGCUGAGGUGCGAAAGCGUGGGGAGCAAACAGG
rnacentral:rRNA from 1 species